CCAAACUUGCUCGUAUAACUACUCGUCUUAAAUAGGAAAAACGUUGAUGUGUUUGGUCACUUCUAACUUUAUCUCUAAAUGGUACCAUUGAAUGAAUGGGGCUAAGCUAAAUGCUAUCGAAGCGUCGCAGUGCGCUCCAGCGCUUACGUGCACGCACACAGAUGAUAGAGGGAUGUAUCAACAAUUCUUUGUUAAGGUAAUAACAUAUUUUAAUAUUGAAAAUGAGUAGACUAUUCCUUUAACUAGUCAAUGGCAGGGAAUAGAGUUAAAGGUGCAGUGUGUAAUUUUUAGAAGGAUCUCUUGACAGAAAUGCAAAAUAAUAUACAAAACUAUAUUAUCAGGGGUGUAUAAAGACCUUUUUAUAAUGAACCGUUAUGUGUUUAUUGCCUUAAAAUGAGACGUUUUAUCUACAUACACCGAGGGUCCCCUUACAUGGAAGCCGCCAUUUUGUGCAGCCAUGUUUUUACAGAAGCCCUUAAAAGACAAACUUUUUUACUAAGUUAUCUCCAAUGAUGACAUGUUUGUCCGGUGGCGGCUACCGUAGCUUCUCUAUGUGUUUCAAAAGCAAGAGGUGAGCAGUGGACUGAGCCGUUGGUUGCAAUUCAUAACCUCACCACUAGAUGCUGCUAAUAUUUACACACUGCACCUUUAAUAUCACUGACAUCAAACCUGACACAGAGGAAAACUAACUAAGUUUUAAAAUGAAAAGAGUGGGAGUGAAUGGUUACAGGAUUAAACGGGCUGUGUUUAAAAAAGCUCUUAUGUUUAUUAACUUGAAGAGGGCAAACCAGAUUAAGGACAGUUGAUGGUUUAUUAUUUUAACAGUGGGUAAACCUCAAGGGACUUUGUGUCUCUUGGCAUGACAUUUAAUUCAGUAAUUAGGCAGCUGUGUAGUUUUCUAUUAACUAAGUUUCCAUAGUUUUACAGAACAAGGAAGUGAUUUGUUGAAGAAUUCUGCAGCAUCUUUCUCUCUCUUUCUCUGCACUGCCCUUUAAAAAAUAUCUUCACUACCCACCCACAGUAACAAAACAGUGCAGGGGGACAUGCAGAGAGCUGUCUUUGCCUAUCAGCAUCAGGCCCUUUAUUUAGUUUAUCUCUGUGGAUUAGUAUUAUUUGCUGCAUAGCGCACUACAUGUAUCUGAGUGGCCAAACCAAAGCACAUGUCCACACUAAUUGUAUGCUCAUGUAGUAGACUGAGGGCAGAUGUAUGCAGGCACAAUCCUCCAUUAGAUUUGUAUACCAGACAACAAAGAUAGAGAUGGGAAAGUAUGUGUAAGUGAAUGUAAAAGCUUAAAGGAAGAAAUAGUAAAUCAAACAAAUGUCUGUAUCUGUGCCUUUUAUGAUUGGAAAUGUAGUUUUCUAUCAGAGUUGUGAUGUCAUAUGUGACCCAUGCUGUGAUUGGACUGUUGUGUCUUUUAAAAAACAAUGUUGCAAUUGAAACAAAGUGAUGAAAAAAAGAAACCUUUAUUAAAAAGCAAUCAUAGUGAUAUUAUUAAGUCCAACCAAAUAUUUUAUUUCAGGAAACAAUGUAUGUAGAGAAGACUAGAUCACGGUCAAAUAUGUGUUUGGUUAACCUUGUGUCCGGAUUGCACUUCAGUAGAGGUUGGGUUGUACUAUAACUGAUCUCCGUCAUUCCAGUUAAUCAUCAAUAUUGAUGUGUGCGUCUGUGUUUUUUGAAACAAACACACCCUCGAGCAAUGUUUGAGUUUGUCUGGGUAGUUUACGGUAUGUGUCUAAGAUAGUAAGGGAAAUAUAGACUUCAGUAUUAUUAAAGACAGCAAGAUAAUUUGAAGAGUAAUCCCUCAUACAUUUUAACCUUUAUGAUCAAAGAAUAAAUAAAAACAUCUUAAAAACAUUUGAGGUACAGAAAUUGACCUGUUUAUUAAACACUAUCUCCUCCUGGCAUAUAUGGCAGAGCAACGUUUAUUUCAAUUCAGCCCACAUUUCAUUGGCCCGGUGUUGGGUAAUACCAAAUAACUGGGUGUUAAGGUAUUUGUGAACGAUACUGGGCUUGCUUGGGGGUGCUUUCAUUUAUUAUUUAGUAUUUAAUGUUCAUUUUCAUCAUUUCAUUUAAAGGAAUAUUUUAGGUUAUUCAAAAUUUGUAUAUGUGACCCUGGACCACAAAACCAUCAUAAGGAUGAUAAUAGUUGAAUAAAAAAGCUUUACAAUAUUUGGCUGAGAUACAACUAUUUGAAAAUCUGGUAUGUGAGGGUGCAAAAAAAUCUAAAUAUGGAGAAAAUCACCUUUUAAAGUUGUCCAAAUUAAAUACUUAGCAACUGCAUCCACUCACAAAAAUAAAGUUUUCAUAUAUUUACGGUAAGAAAUGU